AGCUUGUUGGUGAGGUAACGGCUCACCAAGGCUUACGGGUAGUUGGUCUGAGAGGAUGAUCAGCAACACUGGGACUGAGACACUGCCCAGACUCCUACGGGAGGCUGCAGCCGAGAAUCAUUGUCAAUGCACGAAAGUGUGAACAUGCGACGCCGCGUGGAGGAAGACGGCCUUUGGGUUGUAAACUCCUGUCAGCAGGGAGUAAGGAUAGUCUAUUUAAUACAUAUUCUAUUUGAUAGUACCUGCAGAGGAAGUCACGGCUAACUCUGUGCCAGCAGCCGCGGUAAUACAGAGGUGGCGAACGUUGUUCGGAUUUACUGUGCGUAAAGGGUCCGCAGGCGGCUUGGUGUGUCAGAUGUGAAAGCCCACGGCUUAACCGUGGAAUUGCAUUUGAAACUGCCAGGCUAGAGUACUGGAGGGGAGAAGGGAACACUUGGUGUAGCGGUGAAAUGCGUAGAUAUCAAGUGGAACACCGGUGGCGAAGGCGCUUCUCUGGACAGAUACUGACGCUCAUGGACGAAAGUUAGGGUAGCGAAAGGGAUUAGAUACCCCUGUAGUCCUAACCGUAAACGGUGAGCGCUAGGCGUGGGUGGCUUUACCCCCAUCCGUGCCUGAGCUAACGCAUUAAGCGCACCGCCUGGGGAGUACGGUCGCAAGAUUAAAACUCAAAGGAAUUGACGGGGACCCGCACAAGCGGUGGAGCAUGUGGCUUAAUUCGAUGCAACGCGAAGAACCUUACCUGGGCUUGACAUAUAGCUGCAUCCGACCCGAAAGGGACGGAGCCUUCGAGGGUGCUAUACAGGUGCUGCAUGGCUGUCGUCAGCUCGUGCCGUGAGGUGUUGGGUUAAGUCCCGCGACGAGCGCAACCCCUGUGUUUAGUUGCCAGCACGUAAUGGUGGGAACUCUAAACAGACUGCCUGUGAAAACAGGAGGAAGGGGAUGACGUCAAGUCAGUAUGGUCCUUAUGUCCAGGGCUGCACACGUGCUACGAUGGGAUGUACAAUGGGAGGCUAAGCCGCGAGGUGGAGCAAAUCCUCAAAACAUCCCCCAGUUCGGAUUGUAGUCUGAAACUCGACUACAUGAAGUUGGAAUCGCUAGUAAAGGUAUAUCAUCUACGAUACCUUGAAUACGUUCCCGGGUCUUGUACACACCGCCCGUCACAUCAUGGAAGUGAGUUGCACCCGAAGUUGUUGAUCCAACCCGUCAAGGGAGGAAGGCACUUAAGGUGUGAUUCAUAACUGGGAUGAAGUCGUAACAAGGUA
rnacentral:rRNA from 1 species